rnacentral:rRNA from 1 species
UUCCUACGGGGGGCAGCAGUGAGGAAUAUUGGUCAAUGGGCGAGAGCCUGAACCAGCCAAGUCGCGUGAGGGAAGACGGUCCUAUGGAUUGUAAACCUCUUUUGUCGGGGAGCAAAAAGGCCUCGUGAGGCCACAAGUGAGAGUACCCGAAGAAAAAGCAUCGGCUAACUCCGUGCCAGCAGCCGCGGUAAUACGGAGGAUGCGAGCGUUAUCCGGAUUUAUUGGGUUUAAAGGGUGCGUAGGCGGUCCGGAAAGUCAGCGGUAAAAGCCCGGGGCUCAACCCCGGCGAGCCGUUGAAACUGCCG